CGGGUUCAACACUGAGCCUAAGAACAUACCCAUGUAGCAAUGCCUUCAAUAUACAGGGAAUGAAGUGUUCACUAAAACUUAUCGACGAAACGACAUGAAGCACCUCACACUUCGACCACACACCCUCACCGUCACCACACCAUCUCCGGAAGAAUGGGAUUCAAUUCCAUCUAACUUGUGCAUCGUGUGCUUGUUUGAGAUGAAUGAUGAAGACGAAGCUUGGUCACGAAAUCGUUCGUUGCAUGUGUUGCAUCCUUGAUUGAGAUGACGGUGAAGAUGAAGCUUGGUCACGAAAUCGUUCAUUAUGGAAAGAAUGCUAACAGGUGUUAUGCAGGAUUGGAUUGAAGAAUUGUCAGAAGUGUGGCUGAAUUGUUGUUGUAUUGAGAUGAAGAUGAUGAAUCGUGGAUUGAAGAGUGAAGAGGGUUGAAUUUAAUUUUGGGUCAUCUAAGUGGUUGAAGUAUUGUUCUGUUACCUCUGGUUGAACGAUUCAAAAGAAAAUGUCAGGGAGAAUCAGUUUGGAGUUUUUUUGUUUCAUUGUGUCAAUGAAGGUGCGAUGUGUAUUGGAUUCAAUUGUUGAAGAUUGGAGGAGGAAGUGAUUGUGUUUUGUCAGUUGUGUGGAAUUUAUGCCAAGAGGAUUGAGAAUCGGUUUAUUCUAUUGAGUUUUUGGUUUGUUAGAGUUUGGGUAGAAGAGGUUGGGAGUUUAUUGCAGGUUCAGUUAAUCAGUUGGAGGUUUGUUACAGUCGGUUAGAAAUUUGAUUGAAGGGUAUUAAAGAAUUCAGUUAGAGUAUGUAAGUGGAAAAUCAUGUUUUGUUAUUUUGUUAAAAGUAUGUAGGAUGGAAUCACAUUGAACUAUGGUUAGGAAAAAUUGCAAGUGAGGCUUAUGUAUGAUGUAAGUGAGAUCAAGUUAUGUUAUGCAGUUGAAUCCCAUUGUGAUUUUAUGUUGGAAAACAAAACAGAAAUGUAAUAAUCCCUUGGAUGAACUGGGAUUGCCAGGAUUUGAAUUGUCAGACCUUGAGCAGGGAUCCGUGGUGCCCGUGUUGCAGUGCCUUGAGAAUUUGAAAGCUCACUUUGUGUAUAAUGCUCAAGCUUGGCGUGCAACAUGCCUUGGCAGCAGGGGCAAUUGAAGAGAAUAGCUCGUGACAGGUUGGGUUCAGAAGUUGAAGUUUUCUUUGUAGCUUGAACAAAAAGAACUUAAAUUUCAUCUUGCUGAUGCGAGAAAGAAAGUGAAGGAAUUGGAGUUCAUUAGAAAUAGUUGGUUUAUAUUUUGUUUAUGUAGUUUCAUGAUGUAUUGACUUAGAUAAUAUUGGAAAAUUGUGAUUGUUGUAACAUGAAUGUGUGAGUUUGGAAAUGUAAUGUAAUUGUUGAAUAUCUUUGUUUGUGGAAUUGAAAAUGAAUGAAUGUAUGGUUGAAUUGGAUUAA